rnacentral:rRNA from 1 species
UCUUUAUUGAAAGAUGGUUUCGGCUAUCACUUGCAGAUGGGCCCGCGGCGCAUUAGCUAGUUGGUGAGGUAAUGGCUCACCAAGGCAACGAUGCGUAGCCGACCUGAGAGGGUGAUCGGCCACACUGGGACUGAGACACGGCCCAGAUUCCUACGGGAGGCAGCAGUAGGGAAUCUUCCACAAUGGACGAAAGUCUGAUGGAGCAACGCCGCGUGAGCGAUGAAGGCCUUCGGGUCGUAAAGCUCUGUUGUUAGGGAAGAACAAGUGCGAGAGUAACUGCUCGCACCUUGACGGUACCUAACCAGAAAGCCACGGCUAACUACGUGCCAGCAGCCGCGGUAAUACGUAGGUGGCAAGCGUUGUCCGGAAUUAUUGGGCGUAAAGCGCGCGCAGGUGGUCCUUUAAGUCUGAUGUGAAAGCCCACGGCUCAACCGUGGAGGGUCAUUGGAAACUGGGGGACUUGAGUGCAGAAGAGGAAAGUGGAAUUCCAAGUGUAGCGGUGAAAUGCGUAGAGAUUUGGAGGAACACCAGUGGCGAAGGCGACUUUCUGGUCUGUAACUGACACUGAGGCGCGAAAGCGUGGGGAGCAAACAGGAUUAGAUACCCUGGUAGUCCACGCCGUAAACGAUGAGUGCUAAGUGUUAGAGGGUUUCCGCCCUUUAGUGCUGCAGCUAACGCAUUAAGCACUCCGCCUGGGGAGUACGGUCGCAAGACUGAAACUCAAAGGAAUUGACGGGGGCCCGCACAAGCGGUGGAGCAUGUGGUUUAAUUCGAAGCAACGCGAAGAACCUUACCAGGUCUUGACAUCCUCUGACACUCCUAGAGAUAGGACGUUCCCCUUCGGGGGACAGAGUGACAGGUGGUGCAUGGUUGUCGUCAGCUCGUGUCGUGAGAUGUUGGGUUAAGUCCCGCAACGAGCGCAACCCUUGAUCUUAGUUGCCAGCAUUCAGUUGGGCACUCUAAGGUGACUGCCGGUGACAAACCGGAGGAAGGUGGGGAUGACGUCAAAUCAUCAUGCCCCUUAUGACCUGGGCUACACACGUGCUACAAUGGACGGUACAAAGGGCAGCAAAACCGCGAGGUCGAGCCAAUCCCAUAAAACCGUUCUCAGUUCGGAUUGCAGGCUGCAACUCGCCUGCAUGAAGCCGGAAUCGCUAGUAAUCGCGGAUCAGCAU